rnacentral:rRNA from 1 species
UUUGACCUCGGAUCAGGUAGGGAUACCCGCUGAACUUAAGCAUAUCAAUAAGCGGAGGAAAAGAAACCAACAGGGAUUGCCCUAGUAACGGCGAGUGAAGCGGCAACAGCUCAAAUUUGAAAUCUGGCUCUUUUAGAGUCCGAGUUGUAAUUUGCAGAGGGCGCUUUGGCUUUGGCAGCGGUCCAAGUUCCUUGGAACAGGACGUCACAGAGGGUGAGAAUCCCGUACGUGGUCGCUAGCUAUUGCCGUGUAAAGCCCCUUCGACGAGUCGAGUUGUUUGGGAAUGCAGCUCUAAAUGGGAGGUAAAUUUCUUCUAAAGCUAAAUAUUGGCCAGAGACCGAUAGCGCACAAGUAGAGUGAUCGAAAGAUGAAAAGCACUUUGGAAAGAGAGUCAAACAGCACGUGAAAUUGUUGAAAGGGAAGCGCUUGCAGCCAGACUUGCUUGCAGUUGCUCAUCCGGGCUUUUGCCCGGUGCACUCUUCUGCAGGCAGGCCAGCAUCAGUUUGGGCGGUGGGAUAAAGGUCUCUGUCACGUUCCUUCCUUCGGGUUGGCCAUAUAGGGGAGAUGUCAUACCACCAGCCUGGACUGAGGUCCGCGCAUCUGCUAGGAUGCUGGCGUAAUGGCUGUAAGCGGCCCGUCUUGAAACACGGACCAAGGAGUCUAACAUCUAUGCGAGUGUUUGGGUGUCAAGCCCGAGCGCGUAAUGAAAGUGAACGGAGGUGGGAACCCGCAAGGGUGCACCAUCGACCGAUCCUGAAGUUUACGGAAGGAUUUGAGUAAGAGCAUGGCUGUUGGGACCCGAAAGAUGGUGAACUAUGCUUGAAUAGGGUGAAGCCAGAGGAAACUCUGGUGGAGGCUCGCAGCGGUUCUGACGUGCAAAUCGAUCGUCAAAUUUGGGCAUAGGGGCGAAAGACUAAUCGAACUAUCUAGUAGCUGGUUCCUG